AAAAUUCUAUCACUGCGGCGAGCGGCUUGUUGUUGUUGCCUUAACACAAUAGUAUUUUACAUUUUUAGUUUUAACGUCACAUGACAUUUUCCGUCGGAUUUUUUAUUUUAAUUGUUUUUAUUCAAUUCGCAGCAAUACACGUUUCGGUAGCCAAUCGACCGCAUAAAUAAGGAUCGAUAAGGACAUAAUAAUAUUGUAAUACACGACGGAUUUAUAUCGAAACUAUUAGUAUCAAAAUUUAGAAAAUGUCCGAUCCAUACUGCUUGACUUAUUGCGUGGGGUGCCGUCAGAAGACGUCGUGGAGCGGUCAGCCGACCCUGAAUCAAACUCGAAACUUCAAGGCCGGUCUGCGCGGUGUGUGCAUUAAGUGCAACAAGACAAAAUUCACGUUCGUCACCACAGUCUACUACUGUAGCAAACGGCAAAAUCAGUCGUCUGGGACAAGUGCGGGUUGACGACAAUUUUAACCGAUUCAAAAAUUAUACGUAUUCAAUUUUAUAAAAAAAAUAAAUAAAUUUUAUGGUUUUA